UGGGGAAUAUUGCGCAAUGGGGGAAACCCUGACCCAGCAACGCCGCGUGAGGGAAGAAGGUCUUCGGAUUGUAAACCUCUGUCCCUGGGGACGAAAAAAAUGACGGUACCCAAGGAGGAAGCUCCGGCUAACUACGUGCCAGCAGCCGCGGUAAUACGUAGGGAGCGAGCGUUGUCCGGAAUUACUGGGCGUAAAGGGUGCGUAGGCGGCAAAGCAAGUCAGAUGUGAAAUCCCCGGGCUUAACUCGGGGGGUGCAUUUGAAACUGCAUUGCUUGAGUGCAGGAGAGGAAAGCGGAAUUCCUAGUGUAGCGGUGAAAUGCGUAGAUAUUAGGAAGAACACCAGUGGCGAAGGCGGCUUUCUGGACUGUAACUGACGCUGAGGCACGAAAGCGUGGGGAGCAAACAGG
rnacentral:rRNA from 2 species